rnacentral:misc_RNA from 1 species
GAUUGGUAUGCCUGAGCUUGUUGGUUGUUUUGGAGGCCAAACAUAGACAAGCAUAACCCUCCCAAGUCAAAAUUUGUUGGUUAAAAUUUCAUGCGUGUAGGUUUCUUAGUUUUGUGUAUGGUCUCACGUGUGUCAAUCUCUCUAGUUGUUUGAAAAGAUUGAAGGAUUUUGGGGUCCAUUGUUGAUAUUAUGUCAUAUAAAGAAGAAAGAAGGGC